rnacentral:rRNA from 1 species
UACGGGGGGAGCAAGCGUUGUUCGGAUUUACUGGGCGUAAGGGGCGCGUAGGCGGCGUGACAAGUCACUUGUGAAAUCUCCGGGCUUAACUCGGAACGGUCAAGUGAUACUGUCGUGCUAGAGUACAGAAGGGGCAACUGGAAUUCUCGGUGUAGCGGUGAAAUGCGCAGAUAUCGGGAGGAACACCAGUAGCGAAGGCGGCUCGCUGGGCCACACCUGACGCUGAGACGCGAAAGCUAGGGGAGCGAACAGG